rnacentral:rRNA from 1 species
UUUCCAGAGAUGGAUUGGUGCCUUCGGGAACUCUGAGACAGGUGCUGCAUGGCUGUCGUCAGCUCGUGUUGUGAAAUGUUGGGUUAAGUCCCGCAACGAGCGCAACCCUUAUCCUUUGUUGCCAGCGGUUAGGCCGGGAACUCAAAGGAGACUGCCAGUGAUAAACUGGAGGAAGGUGGGGAUGACGUCAAGUCAUCAUGGCCCUUACGAGUAGGGCUACACACGUGCUACAAUGGCGCAUACAAAGAGAAGCGACCUCGCGAGAGCAAGCGGACCUCAUAAAGUGCGUCGUAGUCCGGAUUGGAGUCUGCAACUCGACUCCAUGAAGUCGGAAUCGCUAGUAAUCGUGGAUCAGAAUGCCACGGUGAAUACGUUCCCGGGCCUUGUACACACCGCCCGUCACACCAUGGGAGUGGGUUGCAAAAGAAGUAGGUAGCUUAACCUUCGGGAGGGCGCUUACCACUUUGUGAUUCAUGACUGGGGUGAAGUCGUAACAAGGUAAGCGUAGUGCU